GAUGAACGCUAGCGGGAGGCUUAACACAUGCAAGUCGAGGGGCAGCAUAGGGUAGCAAUACUCUGAUGGCGACCGGCAAACGGGUGAGUAACGCGUAUGCAACCUACCCUGUACAGGGGGAUAACCCGGAGAAAUUCGGACUAAUAUCCCGUAAUAAUAUCCGGAGGCAUCUUUGGAUAUUUAAAGUUUCGACGGUACGGGAUGGGCAUGCGUAACAUUAGCUGGUUGGUAAGGUAACGGCUUACCAAGGCUAUGAUGUUUAGGGGUCCUGAGAGGGUGGUCCCCACACUGGUACUGAGACACGGACCAGACUCCUACGGGAGGCAGCAGUGAGGAAUAUUGGUCAAUGGGCGCAAGCCUGAACCAGCCAUCCCGCGUGCAGGAAGACGGCCCUAUGGGUUGUAAACUGCUUUUCCAGGGAGAGAAACUUACGCACGUGUUGCGUGACUGACGGUACCCUGGGAAUAAGCAUCGGCUAACUCCGUG
rnacentral:rRNA from 1 species